CCCUUAGAUGUUCCGGGCCGCACGCGCGCUACACUGACGAAUGCAACGAGCUUAUAACCUUGGCCGAAAGGUCUGGGUAAUCUCCAAAUUUCGUCGUGAUGGGGAUAGAUUAUUGCAAUUAUUAAUCUUCAACGAGGAAUGCCUAGUAAGCGCAAGUCAUCAGCUUGCGUUGAUUACGUCCCUGCCCUUUGUACACACCGCCCGUCGCACCUACCGAUUGAAUGGUCCGGUGAAGCCUCCGGAUUGGCGCGCACCUCGGUGCCGCCGAGAAGUUGGCUAAACCUUACCAUUUAGAGGAAGGUGAAGUCGUAACA
rnacentral:rRNA from 1 species